AUUGAACGCUGGCGGCAGGCCUAACACAUGCAAGUCGAGCGGAUCGGCGGACGGGUGAGUAAUGCCUAUGACUCUGCCUGUUCGUGGGGGAUAAGGUCCGGAACCGGGCGCUAUUACCGAUUCCUCUUAGAUGCGCCUAGGUCGGAUUAGCUAGUUGGUGGGGUAAAGGCCUACCAAGGCGACGAUCCGUAACUGGUCUGAGAGGAUGAUCAGUCACACUGGAACUGAGACACGGUCCAGACUCCUACGGGAGGCAGCAGUGGGGAAUAUGGGACAAUGGGCGAAAGCCUGAUCCAGCCAUGCCGCGUGUGUGAAGAAGGUCUUCGGAUUGUAAAGCACUUUAAGUUGGGAGGCGUUACCAACAGAAUAAGCACCGGCUAACUUCGUGCCAGCAGCCGCGGUAAUAC
rnacentral:rRNA from 1 species